ACCGGUGUGGGCUGGCAUCUUCGGCCGUCUGGCCGGGGACCGGAUGUCCGCUCUGGCGUUGUGCGGUGCUGCGGUGAUCGUUCUCGGCACGCUGGUC
rnacentral:tRNA from 1 species